rnacentral:rRNA from 1 species
UCGCGGUGAAUACGUUCCCGGGCCUUGUACACACCGCCCGUCACACCAUGAGAGUUGGUAACACCCGAAGUCCGUGAGGUAACCGUAAGGAGCCAGCGGCCGAAGGUGGGAUCGAUGAUUGGGGUGAAGUCGUAACAAGGUAGCCGUAGGAGAACCUGCGGCUGGAUCACCUCCUUUCUAGGGAG